UUACGGCUAUAUCGCGUUGAAACACCUAUUCCCGUUCGAUCACCGAAGUUAAGCAAGGUCGAGCCUGCUCAGUACUUUGAUUGGUGACCACUUGGGAAAGUCAGGUGAUGUAAG